rnacentral:tRNA from 3 species
CUCCCCGUAGCACAAUGGAUAGUGCACAUGCCUCCUAAGCGUGGGAUACUGGUUCGAUUCCAGUCGGGGGACCA